rnacentral:lncRNA from 1 species
GCCACAUCCCCAGUCCUUUUCAUUUUUAUUAUUUUGAGACAGGGUCUUGCUAAGUUGCUCAGGGCCUUGCUAAAUUGGCUGGCUUUGAACUUGUAAUCCUCCUGCAUCAGCCUCCUGAGUUGCUGGGAUUACAGGUGUGUACCACUAUGCCCAACUGCUACCUCUUUGUGUCUCCUGCUCCAGGUUCAUUUUCUGUGGCAAAGCUUUCUCUGUCCUUUGAAACCUGCUUUGAUGGGAUCCUGAUUUCUUCUUUUCAAGCUUCUCUCGUUACAUAGAUCUUGUAUCUCCAGCAGAACAACCAACCUCCCUCUCCUCACUUCAGCCUGUCAGUGCUCAACUCUCCUCCUUCCUCUUUCCCCUGUCACCUGCCUCUAAGCAAGAAGCUCUGGGUCUGACCUUAACACUCUGUGUAUUUUAUGCUUCAUUCAUACCCAAUUGAGUUGCUUCUUUCCCCCCAUCUCCCCAGUGCCUUUCUCAAACUCUGGUUAUCUCCUCAUUCAGACUUUGGGUUCCCCAGGGUUCUAAACAGACUCUUAAUUCUACAGACAGAAUAUAAGCUUCUGCUAAUCAACCCCCAAACCCCAUACAGAUGACUCCCUCCAGCUCUCCAUCUUCACCCACCAUGUAGGGAAUGGUUUGCAUAAACCUUUUUGAAUUGACAGAGCAAUUUUGGACAUUAUCAUAUUAAUCCCCUAAAUGAUCAGAAAGAGGCAUCAUUAAUGCCGUUUUGCCCAUCAGAAAAUAGAUCCAGGGAGCUAAGUGACUUUCCCAAGGCCUCAGAGUAUAUAUAGAAUAAAGAGUUCAGCUCAGAGUCUAUCACUCUAUUGAGUUUGUUAGAACUCUCAAUGUUUUCUCCCCAACCACAUGUUGCAAGUUUUUUUUUUUUUCUUGCUGUGUCCUUUUCCCCAUUGCUCAAGUCUCUUACCUCUUCUGCUGUCUCUGAUCAAAAACAUAGAACUCCUUCAUGCCCUGCCUUUAUAUAUAAAACUCAAGACUGCAGAUCGGAAUGGAAUGCCCCAGAAGGAGCCUGUAUAGUACUGCUGGAAGUCUGAAAUGAUGGAAAAAGUUAUGGGCUGGGGAAAUUUUUUAAAUUUCUUAC